rnacentral:rRNA from 1 species
GAUGAACGCUGGCGGCGUGCCUAAUACAUGCAAGUCGAGCGAACGGACGAGAAGCUUGCUUCUCUGAUGUUAGCGGCGGACGGGUGAGUAACACGUGGAUAACCUACCUAUAAGACUGGGAUAACUUCGGGAAACCGGAGCUAAUACCGGAUAAUAUUUUGAACCGCAUGGUUCAAAAGUGAAAGACGGUCUUGCUGUCACUUAUAGAUGGAUCCGCGCUGCAUUAGCUAGUUGGUAAGGUAACGGCUUACCAAGGCAACGAUGCAUAGCCGACCUGAGAGGGUGACGGCCCACACGGGAACUGAGACACGGUCAAGACUCCUACGGGAGGCACAAGUAGGGAAUCUUCGGAAAUGGGCGAAAGCCUGACGGAGAACCGCCGGGGGAGGGAGGAAGUUUUUCGGAUCGUAAAACUUUUUUAUUGGGAAAAAACAUAUGUGAAAUUACCUGUACACUCUUGGAGGGUCCUUAAUAAAAAACCCCCGGCUAACUCCGGC